GAUGAACGCUGGCGGCGUGCUUAACACAUGCAAGUCGAACGGAAAGGCUCCUGCUUGCAGGGGUACUCGAGUGGCGAACGGGUGAGUAACACGUGGGUGAUCUGCCCUGCACUUCGGGAUAAGCCUGGGAAACUGGGUCUAAUACCGGAUAGGACCACAUUUUGGAUGGUGUGGUGGAAAGUUUUUCGGUGUGGGAUGAGCUCGCGGCCUAUCAGCUUGUUGGUGGGGUAAUGGCCUACCAAGGCGUCGACGGGUAGCCGGCCUGAGAGGGUGUACGGCCACAUUGGGACUGAGAUACGGCCCAGACUCCUACGGGAGGCAGCAGUGGGGAAUAUUGCACAAUGGGCGCAAGCCUGAUGCAGCGACGCCGCGUGGGGGAUGACGGCCUUCGGGUUGUAAACUCCUUUCGCUAGGGACGAAGCGCAAGUGACGGUACCCGGAGAAGAAGCACCGGCUAACUACGUG
rnacentral:rRNA from 1 species